UUGCUAUCUGCGAUAUGGAAGAUUCGAACCCGCCACAGGUUCGGGUCUCAUGCAGUGAGACAACGGAGCCGUUUACGGCGACGGCCCGAAGGGCGAGGCGAAGCCGAGUCAUCCUGCACGACCCACCA
rnacentral:sRNA from 1 species